AGAGUUUGAUCAUGGCUCAGGAUGAACGCUAGCGGCAGGCCUAAUACAUGCAAGUCGAGGGGCAGCGGGAGUAGCAAUACUUGCCGGCGACCGGCGCACGGGUGCGUAACACGUAUACAAUCUGCCCAUAUCAGGGGAAUAGCCCGGAGAAAUUCGGAUUAAUACCCCAUAAUAGUAGAAGAGGCAUCUCUUUUAUUUGAAAGCUACGGCGGAUAUGGAUGAGUAUGCGUCUGAUUAGUUAGUUGGUGAGGUAACGGCUCACCAAGACCACGAUCAGUAGGGGAUCUGAGAGGACUACCCCCCACACGGAUACUGAGACACGGAUCCGACUCCUACGGGAGGCAGCAGUAAGGAAUAUUGGACAAUGCCCGCAAGGGUGAUCCAGCCAUGCCGCGUGCAGGAAGAAGGCCCUAUGGGUCGUAAACUGCUUUUACACCGGAGAAAACCUCCCCUCGUGAGGGGAGCUGAUAGUAUGGUGAGAAUAAGCAUCGGCUAACUUCGUGCCAGCAGCCGCGGUAAGACGAAGGAUGCAAGCGUUAUCCGGAUUCAUUGGGUUUAAAGGGAGCGUAGGCGGUCUUAUAAGUCAGUGGUGAAAGCCUAGAGCUUAACUCUAGAAUUGCCAUUGAUACUGUAGGACUUGAGUAUAGUUGCUGUGGGCGGAAUAUGACAUGUAGUGGUGAAAUACUUAGAGAUGUCAUAGAACACCGAUUGCGAAGGCAGCUCACAAAACUAUAACUGACGCUGAGGCUCGAAAGUGCGGGGAUCAAACAGGAUUAGAUACCCUGGUAGU
rnacentral:rRNA from 1 species